AUUGAACGCUGGCGGCAUGCUUUACACAUGCAAGUCGAACGGCAGCACGGACUUCGGUCUGGUGGCGAGUGGCGAACGGGUGAGUAAUGUAUCGGAACGUGCCCAGUCGUGGGGGAUAACGUAGUGAAAAUUACGCUAAUACCGCAUACGAUCUAUGGAUGAAAGCGGGGGAUCGCAAGACCUCGCGCGAUUGGAGCGGCCGAUAUCAGAUUAGGUAGUUGGUGGGGCAAAGGCUCACCAAGCCGACGAUCUGUAGCUGGUCUGAGAGGACGACCAGCCACACCGGGACUGAGGCACGGCCCAGACGACUACGGGAGGCAGCAGUGGGGAAUUUUGGACAAUGGGCGAAAGCCUGAUCCAGCCAUGCCGCGUGCAGGAUGAAGGCCUUCGGGUUGUAAACUGCUUUUGUACGGAACGAAAAGGUUUGGCCUAAUAAGCUGAGCUAAUGACGGUACCGUAAGAAUAAGCACCGGCUAACUACGUGCCAGCAGCCGCAGUAA
rnacentral:rRNA from 1 species